UCCGGCUUCCCGCCGGCAGUCUCCCGAGAGUCCCCGCCAUUAUGCGCUGGCAACACGGGACAGGGGUUGCGCUCGUUGCGGGACUUAACCCAACAUCUCACGACACGAGCUGACGACAACCAUGCACCACCCGUCACUUCGUCCCCCGAAGGGGAACCUUCCAUCUCUGGAAGUGGCGAAGGAUGUCAAGACCUGGUAAGGUUCUUCGCGUUGCUUCGAAUUAAACCACAUGCUCCACUGCUUGUGCGGGUCCCCGUCAAUUCCUUUGAGUUUUAGUCUUGCGACCGUAGUCCCCAGGCGGGGUGCUUAAUGCGUUAGCUUCGGCACAGAAAGGGUUGAUACUCCCCACACCUAGCACCCAUCGUUUACGGCUGGGACUAC
rnacentral:misc_RNA from 1 species